AGCUUUGUGGAUGGUAAUACAGCUGAUACUGUUGAUACGGGUAACGUAACCAGGUAACGUAACCGGGUAACGUAACCAUGUAACGUAACCGGGCAACGUAACCAUGUAACGUAACCGGGUAGCGUAACCGGGUAACGUAACCAGGUAACGAAACCGGGUAACGAAACCGGGUAAUGUAACCGGGUAACGUAACCAGGUAACGUAACCAGAUAAUCUAACCAGGUAACGUAACCAGAUAAUCUAACCAGGUAGUGUAACCAGGUAACGUAAUCAGGUAAUCUAACCAGGUAACGUAACCAGAUAAUCUAACCAGGUAGUGUAACCAGGUAACGUAACCAGGUAAUCUAACCAGGUAACGUAACCAGAUAAUCUAACCAGGUAGUGUAACCAGGUAACGUAACCAGGUAGUGUAACCAGGUAACGUAACCAGAUAAUCUAACCAGGAAGUGUAACCAGGUAACGUAACCAGGUAACGUAACCAGAUAAUCUAACCAGGAAGUGUAACCAGGUAACGUAACCAGGUGACGUAACCAGAUAAUCUAACCAGGUAGUGUAACCAGAUAAUCUAACCAGGUAACGUAACCAGGUAACGUAACCAGAUAAUCUAACCAGGUAGUGUAACCAGGUAAUGUAACCAGAUAAUCUAAACAGGUAACAUAACCAGAUAAUCUAACCAGGUAACGUAACCAGAUAAUCUAACCAGGUAGUGUAACCAGGUAAUCUAACCAGGUAACGUAACCAGAUAAUCUAACCAGGUAGUGUAACCAGAAUCUAACCAGGUAGUGUAACCAGGUAACGUAACCAGGUAACAUAACCAGAUAAUCUAACCAGGUAACGUAACCAGAUAAUCUAACCAGGUAGUGUAACCAGGUAACGUAACCAGGUAACGU